rnacentral:rRNA from 1 species
UACGGGGGGGGCAAGCGUUGUUCGGAAUUACUGGGCGUAAAGGGCUCGUAGGCGGCCAACUAAGUCAGACGUGAAAUCCCUCGGCUUAACCGGGGAACUGCGUCUGAUACUGGUUGGCUUGAAUCCGGGAGAGGGAUGUGGAAUUCCAGGUGUAGCGGUGAAAUGCGUAGAUAUCUGGAGGAACACCGGUGGCGAAGGCGGCAUCCUGGACCGGUAUUGACGCUGAGGCACGAAGGCCAGGGAGCAAACGGG